UACAGAGGGUGCAAGCGUUGUUCGGAAUUACUGGGCGUAAAGCGCACGUAGGCGGUUCGUUAAGUCGGAUGUGAAAGCCCUCGGCUCAACUGAGGAAGUGCACCCGAAACUGGCGAGCUUGAGUACGAAAGAGGAUCGCGGAAUUCCCGGUGUAGAGGUGAAAUUCGUAGAUAUCGGGAGGAACACCGGCGGCGAAGGCGGCGAUCUGGGUCGAUACUGACGCUGAGGUGCGAAAGCGUGGGGAGCAAACAGG
rnacentral:rRNA from 1 species